ensembl:lncRNA
AAAACCAAGGACACUCGGGGAGGCCGCGUUUUCCAGCCCCCAGACUGUGCUUGCAGUGACGAGAACCAGCAUCCUUACAGACGGACAACCGCAGUGGAUACACGCCAGCAGGGUUAAGAGCAGCGCCACUGGACCAUCACAGGCGUCGGAUCAAGCAGACGACGACUCAGGCGAGCCAGCGCCCGGAGCCAAUAUAUAUACACACACGCAAUCACUGAUUAACACACAACUCCUGAAAGAGCCAAGACUCAGAGAGCUCUUUGAUCCUCCACAUGAACAACAACAAGAUGUUUCUGGGUUGUGUCAGAACUCACGGAUGUAGAAGACUUCUGUGUAAGAUUUAUAGGCCUUGUGAGUGCAUCUUUAUUGCCCUUGCUGAACAAAGGAUUCCAACUGUCGAAGGACACCACCCCACCCAGUGGGCAGGGUCUGAACUGAAACUUGUUGUCUGCCUAUAAAAACUGCUGCACAAAGAAUAAACUUUGAGUUAGUUUGGGAUGACAAUUUAGAACAGUCUCCGCUUCUUUUUGUUCUUCCAAACUGCUCCCGGUACCCCGGCCGGUGCCGUAAUUAACCGUUGAUCAUACUUGAGAAUAUUUUAAUUGUUAUAGGUUAAAGGAUGAACUCUGAUGAUGAAAGCCCACGCCUCAGAGAAACCCGGAAUGGAGUUUCUUACAGUAGUCCUGUUUUAAUUCUGGAUCAGUUCUGGGUCUGGUUGAAUUGGGGUUCAGUCCCUGUGUCUUGAU